CACAAUUGCGAAAAAUCCCUUGCAGUUCAAACUGCUCAAAAACUGCCACUGCGUACCGGUACACAGGCCCCCGUACCGAUACACAUCCCACGAAAAUGCCAAACCCGAGCCUCGGGUUUGCCUCAAAAUCGCCUGUGUACCGGUACACAAUCCCGUAUCGGUACAACCAUCAACCCUGUACCAGUACAGCCAUCAACCCUGUACCGGUACACAGCCCAAUGAAGGCUACCCGAGAGCUAACUAAAAAUCCGAUUUU
rnacentral:lncRNA from 1 species